rnacentral:sRNA from 1 species
GGCGGCGCGGUGUACCCUGGGAUAGGGAGCGAUCUCCGAGCGAGGCGGCAAGAUGGACGCGGGAUUUUUCCGCGGAACAAGUGCAGAACAGGAUAAUCGGUUCAGCAACAAACAGAAGAAACUACUGAAGCAGCUGAAAUUUGCAGAAUGCCUAGAAAAAAAGGUGGACAUGAGCAAAGUAAAUUUGGAGGUUAUAAAGCCUUGGAUAACAAAAAGAGUAACGGAAAUCCUUGGGUUUGAAGAUGAUGUUGUGAUUGAGUUUAUAUUCAACCAGCUGGAAGUGAAGAAUCCAGACUCCAAAAUGAUGCAAAUCAACCUGACUGGAUUUUUGAAUGGAAAAAAUGCUCGAGAAUUUAUGGGAGAACUGUGGCCCCUGCUGCUAAGUGCACAAGAAAACAUCGCGGGAAUCCCUUCUGCUUUCCUAGAACUGAAGAAAGAAGAAAUAAAACAAAGACAGAUUGAACAAGAAAAAUUGGCAUCUAUGAAAAAGCAAGAUGAAGACAAAGAUAAAAGAGAUAAGGAAGAAAAAGAAAGCAGCAGAGAAAAAAGGGAGAGGUCUCGUAGCCCAAGAAGAACCAAGAGCCGGAGUCCUUCCCCUGCUCCAGAAAAGAAGGAAAAAACUCCAGAGCUCCCAGAACCUUCAGUGAAAGUAAAAGAACCUUCAGUACAAGAGGCUACUUCUACUAGUGACAUUCUGAAAGUUCCCAAACCUGAACCUAUACCGGAGCCUAAAGAACCUUCUCCAGAAAAAAAUUCCAAAAAAGAAAA